UACAGAGGGUGCGAGCGUUAAUCGGAAUUACUGGGCGUAAAGCGUGCGCAGGCGGCUAUGCAAGACAGAUGUGAAAUCCCCGGGCUUAACCUGGGAAUGGCAUUUGGGACUGCAAGGCUUGAGUGCGGCAGAGGAGACUGGAAUUCCUGGUGUAGCAGUGAAAUGCGUAGAUAUCAGGAGGAACACCGAUGGCGAAGGCAGGUCUCUGGGCUGACACUGACGCUCAUGCACGAAAGCGUGGGGAG
rnacentral:rRNA from 1 species